AGUGAACGCUGGCGGUAGGCCUAACACAUGCAAGUCGAACGGCCGCACAGUAAGAGCUUGCUCUUACGGGUGGCGAGUGGCGGACGGGUGAGGCAUACAUCAGCAUCUACUUUUUCGUGGAGGAUAACGUAGGGCCACUUCCGCUACUACCUCAUACGACCUACGGGUUAAAGCAGGAGAUCUUCGGACCUUUCCUGAUUCUUUUAGCCGAUGUCGGAUUACCUAGUUGGCGGGGUAAAGGCCCACCAAGGCGACGCUCCGUAGCUGGUCUGAGCGGAUGAUCAGGCAAAAUGGAACUGAGAAAAGGGCCAGAAUCCUAAGGGAGGGAGCAGUGGGGAAAAUUGGACAAUGGGCGCAAGGCUGAACCAGCCAUACCGCGUGGGGGAAGAAGGCCCUCGGGUUGUAAAGACCUUUUGUUGGGAAAGAAAAGCAGCAGGUUAAUACCCCGCUGUUCUGGAGGUACCCAAAGAAUAAGCACAGGCUAACCUAGUG
rnacentral:rRNA from 1 species